ACCACAGAAUUAAUUUUAUUUUUUUCUUUAUUUUACAGUUGUUGCACAAGUGAGAAGUCUCAGGGAGGAGAGACUGGUGUCGAGUUCAGGGCCUCACCUGUUCUUGACAGUCCUGUCUCUGCUCACCAUGAGCCGCAUCUCCAAGCAGUCCAACAAUGCUCCACCACUAUACAAUGCACUGGUGAUUUUGGGGAUGUCGAAGAUGGAGGACUGGAUGGUCCUCCUGCAUCUUCUAGAGAAGGAGACUCCCACACUGGCCAGAACAGCAGAGUGGAAGAGACUGUCUUGUCCUCUACUGCCACAGCACAGAUCAUAAACAACCAAGAGGACUGCAAAGAAAGCGAGGCUGAUGUCCAAGACAACAUCCAACCUGCGUCUGAAAGUCAAGAUAAGACUCCCGAGAAAGAUUGCCCUUGAAGAGCUAACGCACCUGCCAUCAGGGCUUGCAAAAUGAUUCACAUUUCUUUAACUUUUCCACAUAUAGUCACAUUACAACCAAAAAUACAAAUACAUUUUAUUGGAGUCUUAUGUGAAAGACAAAGUGGUAUACAACUGUGAUGUAGCAAGAAACUAAUACAUGGUCUCUUUUUUUAACAAAUAAAAAACUGAAAAGAGCAACGUGCAAAAGUAUUCAGCACCCCCCAGUAAAUAUUUCUUGGAACCGCGUUGUGCUGUAAUUACAGCUGCAAGUCUCUGCCAGUUUUCCACGUCUUGUGACUGAAAUUUUUGGCCAUUCUUCUUUGCAAAUCAGUUCAAGCACAGUCAGAUUAGAUGUAGAGCGUUUGUGAAUAGCAGUUUUCAGACCUUAUCAGAUCCAAAGAUUCUUGAUUCGGUUU